GGAAGCCUUUAGAGAUAGAGGCGUGCUACGAAAGAGAGCCGUAACACAGGUGCUGCAUGGCUGUCGUCAGCUCGUGUCGUGAGAUGUUGGGUUAAGUCCCGCAACGAGCGCAACCCUUGUCAUUAGUUGCUACAUUCAGUUGGGCACUCUAAUGAGACUGCCGGUGACAAGCCGAGAGUGGGAUGACGUCAAGUCCUCAUGGCCCUUAUAGGUGGGGCUACACACGUCAUACAAUGGCUGGUACAAAGGGUUGCCAACCGCGAGGGGGAGCUAAUCCCAUAAAGCCAGUCGUAGUCCGGAUCGUAGUCUGCAACUCGACUACGUGAAGUCGGAAUCGCUAGUAAUCGUGGAUCAGAAUGUCACGGUGAAUACGUUCCCGGGUCUU
rnacentral:rRNA from 1 species